AGAACGAACGCUGGUGGCAUGCCUAACACAUGCAAGUCGAACGAGACCUUCGGGUCUAGUGGCGCACGGGUGCGUAACGCGUGGGAAUCUGCCCUUGGGUUCGGGAUAACAGUUGGAAACGACUGCUAAUACCGGAUGAUGUCUUCGGACCAAAGAUUUAUCGCCCAAGGAUGAGCCCGCGUAGGAUUAGCUUGUUGGUGAGGUAAGAGCUCACCAAGGCGUCGAUCCUUAGCUGGUCUGAGAGGAUGAUCAGCCACACUGGGACUGAGACACGGCCCAGACUCCUACGGGAGGCAGCAGUGGGGAAUAUUGGACAAUGGGACGAAAGCCUGAU
rnacentral:rRNA from 1 species